GCUUGUAAGAAACAAAGAUCUUGUUUUCAUACAAAUGGUCUCAAAAUAAAACACAAAGGAAGAAAAAUAUCCAAAGCACAUAAUGCAAAGAACAAGAAUUGCUUCUAAAUAGAAUGUUUUACAAAGUUUUCCAUAAUGAUUCAGCUGCUCUUUAAGACACAACCAGCUUGAACAUGGAUGGCAGACAUGAAAUUACAGUAUUCACAAAAUUAGUAUUCAGCUUGCAGAAUCUCUUUCCAAAGCCUUCAGGCAUACUUUAUGCACGCACAAUUACAGAAGCAGUCUAUACAGGAUUGUUUAAGCAAGUGAUUAGACUUUGCUUUACUGUGAAAGAGUUUUGGUUUAUGAAGAGUUGAAGCUUCUCACAAACGCUGGUGCCAAUCUAGGUCAACAGGAGUAAGUGAGACCAUUGUUCCAUAUCCCGCUUAAAAAGAACACUACUUCAAAGACAAGAACAACAUCACCUGACAAAAAUAAAACAAGUUAUCAGUUUUAAAACAUUAUGCUUAUAUGCGCCUGUUAAUCUUAACUUUUUCAGGGAUUCAAGUUAUUUUAGGGUAACUACUCUGGGUGAUUAUGUUUUAUUUCUAGCACAAUA